rnacentral:rRNA from 1 species
GCGUAAAGCGCACGCAGGCGGUCUGUUAAGUCAGAUGUGAAAUCCCCGGGCUUAACCUGGGAACUGCAUUUGAAACUGGCAGGCUUGAGUCUCGUAGAGGGGGGUAGAAUUCCAGGUGUAGCGGUGAAAUGCGUAGAGAUCUGGAGGAAUACCGGUGGCGAAGGCGGCCCCCUGGACGAAGACUGACGCUCAGGUGCGAAAGCGUGGGGAGCAAACAGGAUUAGAUACCCUGGUAGUCCACGCCGUAAACGAUGUCGACUUGGAGGUUGUGCCCUUGAGGCGUGGCUUCCGGAGCUAACGCGUUAAGUCGACCGCCUGGGGAGUACGGCCGCAAGGUUAAAACUCAAAUGAAUUGACGGGGGCCCGCACAAGCGGUGGAGCAUGUGGUUUAAUUCGAUGCAACGCGAAGAACCUUACCUGGCCUUGACAUCCAGAGAACUUAGCAGAGAUGCUUUGGUGCCUUCGGGAACUCUGAGACAGGUGCUGCAUGGCUGUCGUCAGCUCGUGUUGUGAAAUGUUGGGUUAAGUCCCGCAACGAGCGCAACCCUUAUCCUUUGUUGCCAGCGGUUCGGCCGGGAACUCAAAGGAGACUGCCGGUGAUAAA